UGCGUACUCCCUCCGUCCGAAAAAAGCUUGUCCCAAGCUUGUCUCUCAAAUGGAUGUAUCUAGCACUAACUCGGUGCUAGAUACAUCCAUUUGAGGGACAAGCUUUUUCAGGCGGAGGGAGUAUCUC
rfam:Triticum urartu cultivar G1812 contig923427, whole genome shotgun sequence.